rnacentral:rRNA from 1 species
GAUAAACGCUGGCGGCGUGCAUGAGACAUGCAAGUCGAACGAACGAGCUUGCUCGUUAGUGGCGGACGGCUGAGUAACGCGUAGGUGACCUGCCCCGAAGUGGGGGAUAACGGCCCGAAAGGGUUGCUAAUACCGCAUGUGGCGACGUCUUCGGUGACGUCAUCAAAGCCGCGAGGCGCUUCGGGAGGGGCCUGCGUCCGAUUAGCUCGUUGGUGGGGUAACGGCUCACCAAGGCGACGAUCGGUAGGUGGUCUGAGAGGACGAUCACCCAGACUGGGACUGAGACACGGCCCAGACUCCUACGGGAGGCAGCAGUCGGGAAUUUUGCUCAAUGGGCGCAAGCCUGAAGCAGCAACGCCGCGUGAGGGAUGAAGGCCUUCGGGUUGUAAACCUCUUUUCUCAGGGACGAUGAUGACGGUACCUGAGGAAUAAGUCACGGCUAACUACGUGCCAGCAGCCGCAGUAACAC